CAAAGUUCAAACGGCGGACCAAAGCUCAGGGGGACUGCCUCCGGCUGGGACUGCGGGGAAUGAGGGUGAUCAAGUCAAAGCUAAUACGGCGGAUCAAAGUUCCGGGGGAAUACCAUCAACGGAGACAGCAGGAAAAAGAGACCCCACAGGCUAAUCAAGGAGAAACACCUUUGACUGAGACUGAAGGAAAAGACACGCCACAGGGCAAUCAAGG